CGCGCAGGCGGCCAAGUCAGUCGAAUGUGAAAGCCCCCGGCUCAACUGGGGAGGGUCAUUCGAUACUGCUUGGCUCGAAGAUAGGAGAGGGAAGCGGAAUUUCAGGUGUAGUGGUGAAAUGCGUAGAUAUCUGAAGGAACACCAGUGGCGAAGGCGGCUUUCUGGCCUAUUCUUGACGCUGAGGCGCGAAAGCUAGGGGAGCGAACG
rnacentral:rRNA from 1 species